rnacentral:tRNA from 1 species
GCAUUAAUAGAGGUAGAAUAUUUGCCUUCCAAGCAAAUGGCCCGGGUUCGAUUCCCGGUUAACGCA